rnacentral:misc_RNA from 1 species
GGCUCUACAAAAUUAGAUACGAAAAAGUUCGAGAACAGAAGCUUUUGGCCCAUAGAAGGGCUGUUUUGAGAAUUCAGAGUGAAAUUAAUGAGCAUUCUAGGAGGAUUGGAGAGAUGGAACUUCGAUCUGCAGAGGAGAAAGGGAAAAUGAAGAACACUGUUGCCGAGAUGUUGAAUUUGCGUAAGAUCAGUCAAGCCAAAGUUGCACUAAAUGUUUGGCAGCCAGAGAUUGUCCGGGGUAAGCAGAAGCAGAUGGUUGAGCAGUGCAAUGUACCUAUUGAUAACCGUAUCCAUGCCAUUGAGAUGGAGCUCAAGCUAUGCAAACAACAAAUUCAAGGGUUAGAGAAGGCCCUUAGUGUUGAAAAAAAAAGGAUGCAGACAGCAAAGGAAAAACUGGCUUCAGUAGAAUAUCACCCCUUGCGGGAAUUUAACUUGACAGUCCACCCGGUUGAUGAAAAUGACAUGAGAAGGAAAAGACUUAAGAACUUCAUCAAGUAAGAAAACUAGGAGUUGAUGCAUAACUGAAUCGAUGAUUUACUCAUGGUUGAGGAGUCUUCACAUUGGUUCGUCUCGCAAAUGGAUGGUAUUCAGCCUAUUUGCAUCUCUGUCCAAGCUCUAUGCUAGGAACCGAUAUUGCAGUUGUGAGUUCCUGUUGAUUAUUAAAAAUAUAGCAGAUCCGAUUUACCUAGAGUGCUCUUAGAAAUAU